GGUAAUACAGAGGGUGCAAGCGUUAAUCGGAAUUACUGGGCGUAAAGCGCGCGUAGGUGGUUUGUUAAGUUGAAUGUGAAAUCCCCGGGCUCAACCUGGGAACUGCAUCCAAACUGGCAAGCUAGAGUAGGGUAGAGGGUGGUGGAAUUUCCUGUGUAGCGGUGAAAUGCGUAGAUAUAGGAAGGAACACCAGUGGCGAAGGCGACCACCUGGACUCAUACUGACACUGAGGUGCGAAAGCGUGGGGAGCAAACAGG
rnacentral:rRNA from 1 species